rnacentral:rRNA from 1 species
UACGGGGGGGGCAAGCGUUGUUCGGAAUUACUGGGCGUAAAGGGCUCGUAGGCGGCCAACUAAGCCAGACGUGAAAUCCCUCGGCUUAACCGGGGAACUGCGUCUGAUACUGGAUGGCUUGAGUUCGGGAGAGGGAUGCGGAAUUCCAGGUGUAGCGGUGAAAUGCGUAGAUAUCUGGAGGAACACCGGUGGCGAAGGCGGCAUCCUGGACCGAUACUGACGCUGAGGAGCGAAAGCCAGGGGAGCAAACGGG